GAUAACGCUCCGAAAGGGCUGUUUGCGAGGGUGUGUGGAGACGGCGUCGCGCACGUUACGGUGAAGCACCUGAACGGGCUUUCCCACGAGAGCAAAGGCAACGCUGGCGGAAUUGCACGAGCGUCCCAGCAACAGGACAUGACUCCUUCUCUCUCCAUGUUUGGUCAUCACAAACACCUCUCGGGGGGAUGAAGCUCCUUCAGUGCUGCACCAUCCGGACAGCCCUAUUUAGCCGGCGGCUGGCUUCUCGCUUGAGAUCACUGGCAGGUGUGACAUGAGCACCCCGUUUCAGACACGCUCUGUGACGUGCAAUCUUCCUUCUGACUAAAAGAAUGGCGGAAAUAAAUGGAACUGAAGGCAAGAUGUCUGUGGAUAUUUGUAAUAGAGAGUGUGACAGGGGAGGAGAGAGAAGGCAGACGGGUGUGUGCUCUUCGAGUUAGCUAUCCGGUGUACUUAAAUAACCCCCCUUUUCUGCUGAACAAGCAUGUGCUUCAAAAUCAACUGGAAAAUGAGUGCAUAAGGAGGGGGAAGCAGAGAAAAUGACCCAGAAUGACGAGCAAAACCAAGACCAGACAAGCACCCCUGAAACCACGGGCGGGAGCCCUGUCCCCUCCCCUGCACCCAGAAGUUUCAGUUAACGAAACCCCUUCAGCCACAGGCUCCUCCGCACUUCACCCACGGCCCUCUGAUCAGGGUUGGGCUAAAAGGGCCAGACCCAUAUAAGGAGGCAACGCAAGGAGCCCAGCAAGGCGUCUGAGUUGUGGCGGGGUGAUGAAGUGUCGGAGACAAACGAGUUAAGCACCUGUGUUGAGUGCAGCAACGGGGUCAGUGCAGCCAACUGUUCCCUUCCUACUCGUGGUGACUGUAAAUAAAAAUCUAGAAAUAAACACCAAUAACUAUUAAUACAUUCCUGACCUUCUCCUUGUAAGCUACUUCAUCUCCAGGUAAACAAACUCCGUAACUGCAAUAAAUAGGUGGCUGUGAAGGUACAAAGCCAGGCCGGGGGCUCUCCAGGACACUGAUGAAGUACCGCAUGCAUUGCUAGCUGGGCAGAAGCUGUGAGCGUGUGCCCGCGUAAUGAGCGCUUGGGUUUCGGCGAACAAACUCACUGCUGACCUGCAGCAGCUACAAGAGGCAGAGAAGCUGCGGAUGCGGAACGAAUGCACUGUUCUUUGCUGUCACAGAGAACGGGCAUCCUGGCGAAAAGGGGAACCAUUCUGCGGUCAAGGGAAAUGUUCCCUAGGAGGGACCCAUCCCCUGGAAGACUGGAAUACUCAGAAUGAUUUUAAGAUGGGAAAUGAAAUCAGGGGAACUCUGCUUGAAGACAUCUUGUAAUAAUGAGUGACUUCAAUUACUCACAUAUUGACUGGAUAAAUGCCUGUUCUGGUCAUGACCAGGAGGUUAAAUUUCUCAAUGCUCCAAGUGACGGUGCCCUUGAAAAAUUGGUCAUGGAGAGGCAGCCAGUGGGAAGGCAACCCUGAAUUUAAUCCCAAGUGGUGCUUCACAGGAUCUCACAUGGAAUGUGAAUGUUGCUGAACCAACUGGAAACAGUGACUCAGUGCUAUUGAAUUUAAUAUAUAUUUAGGUGGAAGAUUGCCAGAGGGUUCCAACACAGCCACACUUGACUUCCAAAGAAGAAACUUCUCCAAAAUGAGGGAACUGGUAAAAAGGCACGUGAACAGGGAAGUCAGACUGCCUAAUGUCUUGAAAUGCUUACACAGGAAGGUCAUCUAGAAUGUAUGCCCCAGGCUAGGAAAGGUGGACCAAGCCUUCAUCCGAAAUGCCAAUGAAGCUCCUAGAGAAAAGAAGUCCUACACAAAUGAGAAAAAUGAAAGGGAACACAAGCUUGCACAAAGGAAGUGUGGCAAAUGAGAAGAGAUCCAAAAAGCAUCUUGAAACACAUCUCGGCAAACAAUAAGGAACUCUUUAAAUACAUCAGAAGCAGAAGGCCAGCUAGAGAGAUAGAAAGACUUGAUGCCAGUUGAGAUAAGGGCGUGCUAAAGGAGGAGGCGACGGCUGCAAACAGGCUGGAUGGAUUCUUUUCAUCUGAGCUCACUGUGGAACCUACAGGACACAGACCUGUGCCUGAACCAAUGUUUUCAGGAAAGGAAUUCAAGUAAUGGGAGCAAAGAGUGGUAACGAAGACGAAGUCCUUGACCUCACUGACAAAUGGAACGUUAAUGAACCCCUGGCUUCAUAUGGCGUCCAUCCAAGGGUUCUUGUAGAGCUUAAAUAUGAUGCUGUUGAUCUUUUAGGCAUAAACAUAUGCAACAUGUCCCUACCGUCAACCUUAUGCUCACUUCCACAGCAUGUAGUAAUGGCCACCAAACCGGACAGCUUUACCUGGGGAGUGGAUACCUUCAUGGAGGAUAAUGUUAUCACUGACUACUUCUCCUGAUGGCGAUAUGUCAGCCCUUCUACCAGAGGCAGUAUGCCCAUGAAGUCCAGUUACUGGGGAACAUGGGCAGGAGGGUGUUGUUGCCCCCAUGUCUUGCCUUGAGGUUUUCCCAAGUGUAGUGGGAAUGGACUGGAGGACCUGGCCUGGCUCUUCAUAUGUUCUCAUGGCUCCCAUCAACUCUUGCCGCUGGCUAUGGCAGACAGGGCUCCCGGAAGCUGCAACCCAGCAACAUCUGGAAGGUCACAAGUCACCUUAAACCACUGUGACUGGUGGCUUUACAGUGAUCUGUAGGAACACGCACGGUGCGAGACCAACACAAACGUUUAGGUGACUCAAGCUGGUGUUCAAACAGAUCCAUCCAUGGGAACAGAAAACCCAUACCAUCCUGCCCAUGGGUGGUGUACCUAAAAUUGGUUCGAACGUGUGUAGCUGCCAGGUUACCGACUCUUUUCUCCUGACAGAAGUCCCUCUGGCUUGUGUCUUCCCCUUUCAUCAAUUAAGUGAUAGGAAAAGGAGUGGGUGAAUCCAAUGGGGAAGGCAUUUUGCCCUCCGGAGGGGCAGAUGGUGUCCACGAGGCCUUUGCCCAAGAACAUUUCCCGGAAAACUUUGGAUUAAGGGCAGGUUUCGUUGCAAUGAGAAUUUCUGGCUGAACUCUGCUUGAACCCAGAAGCAUAUCGCUUAUAACAGACAUGAACAAUAAUGUUCUAUUACCUGCUUAAGACAUGAAGGUUCAAAGCAAGUUCACGUCCUGUCACUAUGCCCCCCCCCCCAAAACAAAAAAUUUCCCAACCGCUUUCAAAAAUUCCUGUUCACACACAAGGAGUGUUAAAAAAAAGUCAUCAAAACAAAAAUGCCAUGCAAAUAUUAAGAGAAGAUUUGCCAUGUGUUUUAUUCGAGUCCAAGUCCAUUUUUGGCUUGGAUUGAAGGAAACAGUCAGUCCUGUGCUUUUAAGCUUCGUUUUAAAAAUGGAAAUUGUAGCAGAAGUACUAUGUGGUGGGACUGGGGGAAGGAUAAAAAAUGAGGGGUCUGCAGUAGCACACUGGUCUCAGGGUUCCCCCACCACAAGCCUAAAGAGGGGAAGAGUCAUUGCUGAGCGGGAGGGCAAAUAUUUUGGCGGAGGUGCCAGGUUUAAUGGCGGCUCUUCCUGUAAAAUAAAAUAAAAUAAAAUAAAAUAAAAUAAAAAUAAAUCUCACGCAGCAGAGCUGGGAAAGGUCUCCCCUGGAAGCUAGGGAGAUGCCACCAGCCAGAAGACACAGCCAUGGCACUGGAUGGACAUAAAAUUUCAUGGCC